rnacentral:rRNA from 1 species
GACGAACGCUGGCGGCGUGCUUAACACAUGCAAGUCGAACGGAAAGGCCCUGCUUUUGUGGGGUGCUCGAGUGGCGAACGGGUGAGUAACACGUGAGUAACCUGCCCUUGACUUUGGGAUAACUUCAGGAAACUGGGGCUAAUACCGGAUAGGAGCUCCUGCUGCAUGGUGGGGGUUGGAAAGUUUCGGCGGUUGGGGUUGGACUCGCGGCUUAUCAGCUUGUUGGUGGGGUAGUGGCUCACCCAGGCUUUGACGGGUAGCCGGCCUGAGAGGGUGACCGGCCACAUUGGGACUGCGAUACGGCCCAGACUCCUACGGGAGGCAGCAGUGGGGAAUAUUGCACAAUGGGCGGAAGCCUGAUGCAGCAACGCCGCGUGCGGGAUGACGGCCUUCGGGUUGUAAACCGCUUUCGCCUGUGACGAAGCGUGAGUGACGGUAAUGGGUAAAGAAGCACCGGCUAACUACGUG